GUGCAGCGUUGAUGCAUUUCACCCAUGUCUCGUUGUGUUGUGCAGCGUCGUCGCCAUCUCUAUUGUUCCUUCUGCCGCCGUGCGCCGGCUUGUGUGACGUUAUUGCCUCUUCAGCUCUAUUUGCGACACCUUUACAUUGGCACCAAUAAGAGGUGCAGAUGGAAAUGAGAACGAUGAUCCAGGCCAGCGGUCUGUCACCUGCUCAGCUAUCCAGUGAGUCCUCCUGCAGAACUUCUGGCUGACUGUGUCCCAGGACUGAUACCGAGGGAAAGAGCUUGGCGAGAGAUCUGUGCCAGUGCAGUCUAGAUUGUGCCACCCUACCGAGAGAGUGGGUGUCAAACACAGACACUGGCGCAGCUUGCAGGGGAGAUGGCACCACAUUGAAGCCAAUGGCUCCAGAGCAACAUGAAUAUAUGUCUGCUGCCACCCACUCAUCCAGGGCCUGAUCCCGUCGGUUCA